rnacentral:rRNA from 1 species
CUCGGGCUUGGUUAGUACUUGGAUGGGUGACCGCUUGGGAAUACCAAGUGUGAUAAGCA